GUUAGGAGGGCGUGGUGGGCGGGGUAAUUGUGGGCGUCAAGGGGGCAGGGCAUGGAAGCACAGCAGAGGCCUGGGGCACAGGGCCGCAGCGGAGCGGCAUUAGCUGAGGGUAUCAGAUCGCCUGGUAUCACUGCCUGGCCAACAGCAACUCCAGCAUGUUCACUACACUGGAGAUGGGUGCCAUGGUGAGGCGAUUCAUGGCCACCGAGCUGGCCCCAGAGUCAGCGUACAUCUUCAGGCUGAUGAUCAAGAUGAGGCAGGGCUGGGGGAGCCCCUAGAGGCUACCAUCAUCACCACUGAGAAUCGAGAGAUCCAUCGAGGACAUGGUACACAGAGGCAGAGCGACCUGGUGGACACCAGGAGGGGGUGUGCUGUGCAACCGGGGGAGAAAGGGCUAGACCUGCCUGACCAUGGUGGAUGCAAAGGGGGCAACUGAACAGGUGGUGCUUCGAACCUCAGGUGACUUGGCCUCGUUGGCAGCAUCCAGUGCGUCUGGCCUCUGUCUCUUCAGUGCAGAUUCAAGUGCAAAAUAUACAGGAGUGGGACCCCUGUCAUGUCCCUGGGGGACGUAUAUCACAGAAGUAAGUUGUCAUGGUUCUGAACCUCCCGCCAGGGUUGAGGUUCAGGCCGUGAGUUGGUUAACUUUUUUGCCGGCUUCUGUCUUUCUUCCGGAGGGAAAGAUACCCUCUUCUUGUCAAUUAACUUGGAGAUGUACCCUUAACCAGAAAGUCUAGAGUUUGCUGCUUGGGGAAGAUGACUUAGUGGCACAUAUGGAGAAGGUUCUGCAAGUCGCUG